CAGUCGCCGGGUAAUACAGAGGGUGCAAGCGUUAAUCGGAAUUACUGGGCGUAAAGCGCGCGUAGGUGGUUCGCCAAGUUGGAUGUGAAAUCCCCGGGCUCAACCUGGGAACUGCAUCCAAAACUGGCGAGCUAGAGUAUGGUAGAGGGUGGUGGAAUUUCCUGUGUAGCGGUGAAAUGCGUAGAUAUAGGAAGGAACAUCAGUGGCGAAGGCGACCACCUGGACUGAUACUGACACUGAGGUGCGAAAGCGUGGGGAGCAAACAGGAUUAGAGACCCCUGUAGUCCCUGUCUCUUAUACC
rnacentral:rRNA from 1 species